GCCGGGGUACCCUAGUCAGGAAAGGGGCAGGCCUGGAGGCUGCUGCCAGGAAGUCUGUGGCCCCUUGGGCCUCGUGGGUUCAAAUCCCACCCCCGGCG
rnacentral:tRNA from 1 species